AACGUAGGAGGCGAGCGUUAUCCGGAUUUACUGGGCGUAAAGCGCGCGCAGGCGGCUUUGCAAGUCGGACGUGAAAGCUCCUGGCUUAACUGGGAGAGGCCGUUCGAAACUGCGGAGCUUGAGGUUGGGAGAGGGGUAUGGAAUUCCCGGUGUAGUGGUGGAAUGCGUAGAUAUCGGGAGGAACACCAGUGGCGAAGGCGGUACCCUGGCCCACACCUGACGCUGAGGUGCGAAAGCGUGGGUAG
rnacentral:rRNA from 1 species